rnacentral:rRNA from 1 species
AAAACGCCAAAAAACUACGAGCGCAAGCUUAAAACUUAAAGGACUUGACGGUGUCCAUCUACCUAGAGGAGCCUGUUCUAUAAUCGAUGAUCCUCGUUAUACCUCACCUCUUUUAGCUUAUCAGUCUGUAUACUUCCGUCGUAAGCUUACCAUAUGAAUGUAUCAGUAGGCUAAAUAGCUAAAACGUCAGGUCAAAGUGCAGCCUACAAAAAGGGAAGAAAUGGGCUACAAUUUCUAAUUUAAGAACAAACGAAGCAUUUUAAUAUGCUAUGAAGGUGGAUUUAGAAGUAAAUGAAAAUAGAGUGUUCACUUUAACAAUGCUCUGGGACGUGUACACACCGCCCGUCACCCU